rnacentral:rRNA from 1 species
AGGAUAAACGCUGGCGGCGUGCAUUAGACAUGCAAGUCGAACGGACUUCUCGGGCUUGCUCGAGAAGUUAGUGGCGGACGGCUGAGUAACGCGUAGGUGACCUAUCCCGAAGUGGGGAAUAACUGCCCGAAAGGGUGGCUAAUACCGCAUGUGAUCGUCUGUUCAUUCGAACGAUCAAAGCCGCAAGGCGCUUUGGGAGGGCCUGCGUCCGAUUAGCUCGUUGGUGGGGUAAUGGCUCACCAAGGCGACGAUCGGUAGGUGGUCUGAGAGGACGAUCACCCAGACUGGGACUGAGACACGGCCCAGACUCCGUACGGG